CGGAUCGGAGUCUGCAACCCGACUCCGUGAAGCUGGAUUCGCUAGUAAUCGCGCAUCAGCCAUGGCGCGGUGAAUACGUUCCCGGGCCUUGUACACACCGCCCGCCAAGCCAUGGAAGCCGGGGGUGCCUGAAGUGUGCAACCGCAAGGAGCGCCCUAAGGUAAAACCGGUGACUGGGGCUAAGUCGUAACAAGGUAGC
rnacentral:rRNA from 1 species